CCGCACCUGAGUUCACUCACAGGGAGUGGAGUGUGUGUGUAUAGGGGAUGUGUUAUUGUAGAGGAUGUAAUGUUUGUCUGUUCUUAUGGAAUGUAGUGUAUAGGGAUACCAAUUUGUGUAAGGGGUGUAGUGUGUGUAUAGGGGAUGCAGUGUGUGAGGAAUGCAUUGUGUGUUUCUGGAUGUGUGUGUAAGGGAUGCAAAGUGUGUUUCUGUGUAUGUAAUGUAAUGCAGUGUGUCUGUAAGGGGUGCAUUGAGUGUGUGUAAGAGAUGCAUUUUGUUUCUGUGUAAGAGAAGCAGUGUGUGUGCGUAAGGGAUGCACUGUGUGUUUCGGUGUGCGAGUAGGGAUGCAUUGUGUGUUUCUGCGUAUGUGUAAG